ACUCAAAGGAAUUGACGGGGGCCCGCACAAGCGGUGGAGUAUGUGGUUUAAUUCGAAGCAACGCGCAGAACCUUACCUACCCUUAACAUCCCACGACAACUGCAGAGAUGUAGCUUUCCCUUCGGGGACGUGGAGAUAGGUGCUGCAUGGCUGUCGUCAGCUCGUGUCGUAAGAUGUCCGGUUAAGUCCGAUAACGAGCGCAACCCUUGUUCUUAGUUACCAGCAUUAAGUUGGGGACUCUAAGGAGACUGCCGGUGUUAAACCGGAGGAAGGCGGGGAUGACGUCAAGUCCUCAUGGCCCUUACGGGUAGGGCUACACACGUACUACAAUGGCAGAAACAAACCGUUGCGAAACCGUAAGGUGGAGCUAAUCGGUAAAACACUGUCUCAGUCCGGAUUGCAGUCUGCAACUCGACUGCAUGAAGCUGGAAUCGCUAGUAAUCGCUGAUCAGCAAGCAGCGGUGAAUACGUUCCCGGGCCUUGCACACACCGCCCGU
rnacentral:rRNA from 1 species